ACACAGAUCACCCGAGAACCUUGUCAAAAUGAGAUUCUGACUCCUUGGGCCUAAUAGGGCAUGAGAUUCUGCAUUUCUUACAAACUCCCAGGUAAUGCUGAU
rnacentral:miRNA from 1 species